UACGUAGGGUGCAAGCGUUGUCCGGAAUUACUGGGCGUAAAGGGCUCGUAGGUGGCCAACUAAGUCGGACGUGAAAUCCCUCGGCUUAACCGGGGAACUGCGUCCGAUACUGGAUGGCUUGAGUUUGGGAGAGGGAUGCGGAAUUCCUGGUGUAGCGGUGAAAUGCGCAGAUAUCAGGAGGAACACCGAUGGCGAAGGCAGGUCUCUGGGCAUUAACUGACGCUGAGGAGCGAAAGCAUGGGGAGCGAACAGG
rnacentral:rRNA from 1 species